rnacentral:rRNA from 1 species
AUUCCAGCUCUGUAAGCGUAUACCAAAGUUGUUGCAGUUAAAACGCUCGUAGUCGAACCUUGGCGUGAGUUACGGAGGCUCCUAAUGGACGUUGAAGUAACUCCGCCUUUGUGGAGGGGGGUGUGGUGUUACUUAAUUGUAUUGCCGCAUUUCCGCCACUGUUUACUGUGAAAAAAUUAGAGUGUUCAAAGCGAGCGUUCGCCAUGAAUACAUUAGCAUGGAAUAAUAGAAUAGGACCUGGUCCUGUUUUAUUGGUUUGUCUGUAUCAGGUAAUGAUUAACAGGGACGGUCGGGGGCAUUUGUAUUCCAGCGUUAGAGGUGAAAUUCUUGGAUCGCUGGAAGACAAACAGCUGCGAAAGCGUCUGCCAAGGACGUUUUCAUCA